CCCAGGACGUGGUGUAUGGUAGGUAAGCAUAUCACCAUCUGAGCCAAAUCCCCAGCCCACUGUGUUACAUGUCCUAUUUAUCAUAUGGAAUAUAUUAACACUCAAAAAUAAUUUCUUGUUUGUCUGAAAUUCAAGGUUAGCCAAGAAAUCUGUACUUUAUUUGACUGCCAUGCUGCAAACUAAAGCACACAGUGUGUCCAGGAUUAACCACACCCUUUGUGGAAGCCUUGGUUUUUAGGGUUCUUAUUUGUUUAUUUUGAAAAAGGUCACCAGCAGGGCCAUGGCACCUAAUGAAGAAGGAGCCCAGUAAAUAUUUACAGAUUGACGUAGGAACCUGGUGCUGGGCUCCCUGCCCCACAGAGGUCAGAGUCCACAGAGGGUGAAAGAAGCAGCAUGAACGGCAUGCGACAUGCCUCCUGCCACCUGGGUUUCGUGAAAAGGGCAGGAAAGGCUCCUAGGGUGAAGUCAGACCUGACCUGGGAGUAGAAGAAACAGCUGAAGCUUCUACAGCCCUCAGAGACAAUGGACCCCAGGUUGGUUUUUGUUCCAGAGAGACAGAUGCCCAGUGUGAUCAUAGCUACCACCUUGUGGUGAUGCUCAUCAAGACGUCUGGUGGAAGCCACCCAAGUCUACCUUGUUGCUAGGAUGGAGAUGCUGGUGGAUGCCGGUGAUGCUGUGAUGGUGAGACACCGUCCACCCAGAUCCUCUGAGGUGUAAAUACAUUGCAUACAUUACGUUA